rnacentral:rRNA from 1 species
UACGGGGGGGGCAAGCGUUGUUCGGAAUUACUGGGCGUAAAGGGCUCGUAGGUGGCCAACUAAGUCAGACGUGAAAUCCCUCAGCUUAACUGGGGAACUGCGUCUGAUACUGGAUGGCUUGAGUUUGGGAGAGGGAUGCGGAAUUCCAGGUGUAGCGGUGAAAUGCGUAGAUAUCUGGAGGAACACCGGUGGCGAAGGCGGCAUCCUGGACCAACACUGACACUGAGGCGCGAAAGCUAGGGGAGCAAACGGG